UUCUCCUAUCUGUGACAAAUUUUAUUGUUUCGGUUACACCCCCGAUUAAUUGGUUAUUUCUUUUCAGCGCCCUCCCAAUUUUCAGUCCUCUGCUUUCCGCUUCAGCUCCCCAAACUCGCCGGCGAAUACAUCGGAAUUAUACCUUCCUUACAGUUCUCUUUUGUCUCUAUUGUACAUCCAUGAGCCAUUAUUCAGUCGGAACACUAAGCUUUAGUCUAUGUGUAGUGUUUGAUGUAAAUUGAUGCAGCUCGAGAUGACUAAAACUGGCAUUUCAAUGGUUUCUCCGUCUUCCGAAUCUGUUUAUGUCCUCCGCCGGCCGAACUUCAGCCUUGUCCGCUUCUAGAAGAUCAGAGGUUCCUCUGCUUACCCCAGGAAGACGUUAUUAUCAAAACUAUGUCGUAUCGCUGUGGGUAAUUACUCUUUCCGUAUUUGCUUACUGAAGUUGUUUAACUUAACCUAGAGAAUUUGGGGAAAGUGAUUAGGGAGUGUUUGGAGGUUGCGGAUUAGGGUAGAAUGUUAAAUAGUAAUCGAGCGUUCCUUGCUUGAUAGGCUUAGUGGUCCUUUCUUCUCAGUGGUAGUAUUAGCUCUAUUCUAGUUAUUUCUUGUUUUGCCAUUCGGCUAUUUCGGUUCGAUUAUUGUACUAUUUUGUUGUUGUUACUGUAUUUCUCCUGCUUGUUGUGUAAUGCUUCCCAUUUUGCAUUAUUUCUUUGUUGUUAUUACACGCAUAUGUGUAUCCCCUUUUACAAAGUAUUUGGCAUGCUUUAUUUAAGCUUAGGGUAUAUUGCAAGUAGCCUAUCUACCUAUAUGAGGUACAGUAAGGUGUGUGUACACUCAACCUGCCCUUGACCUCACUUGUGCGAUUUUACUAUGUAUGUUGUUGUUGUUUGAUUGCCGUGAAGAGUUUAAUCGGCAGUGUCAUGCUCUUAGUAUGAUCUAGUUUGGUGUUACUUUUACGAGAUUGUCUUGCUACUACUUCAUUCGGGGUUGUGAAAUUAAAGUAGAGUUAAAACCAAAGUCUGCUUGAAAAAUAGAGCAGCUAUUAAAUAGUAUUACUUUUACUUAUCAGAAAAAUUCCUUCUUUAUUAUGGAGUCAAAUUUUUCGGUACUUGAACAUCAGUCUAGUAGUUUAGAUCAUAAGCUAUCUGCUCAGACAGAAUCUUAACUUUGAUAAGCUUAAUCAGGAACUAAGAAGUCUUCAGGAGAGUGAGUAUGCAUGGCCUCUUAGGUAUUCUUUGUGAAUUUUUCGGAGCCUGUUCAAAGCAUUUUUGGUGCAGGAAGAAAACUUUAGCACAUUGUUGGCAUCACGUGCCACACUCAGACAUAAAUCUGUUAUAGUUACUAAUUCUGCAUCUAUUGGAAGUGAAAUCUUUUGGAUCAGUCUAUGCAGCAAAAUGUUAGUUGAUAUCCAAAUUAUAUGUGGAAAUUUAAGCUUUGGGUUACAGCCUAAGUUGCGCGGACUCUUUGCUUUUGAGGCCGCACUCAUGUUGGAUUCUUCAAAAAUACACUACUUUUGGAGAAUCUAACACACACACGUUAGACAUUUUUGAAGACUCUGAGCAACAUAGGUUAUAGCUACCCCAAAAUCUAAAUGAUGUAAACUUCCUAUGGGAAUCAUUUGGGGUUAAAUUGCUUGGUGAACCCCCAACGUAGAUUUGCUCAAGACCCAAUCACAAUUAUUUUGUAUUUUAGAAAUUGCACUGGGGUUGGAGAGGAGAGCUGUGCGUGGAUGGAAUUUGGGGAAGUGCCUCUUGUAGCAAAGUUGGGAAGCACAAUCAUAUUUCCUCUGGUUUACAAUAGAAACAAUAAAUAUAGUCUUCAUCAAAAAUAAUAAAUAUUGUGUAGAACCAUUUCAUUUGUCUAACAUUUACCUAUUUGCUCUAUUGGUGUCCUUUAUAACUUUUUUAUGGAGCUCUUCAACUAUCAUUAUUAUAAACUAUGCCUCAUAGAAAGUAAUUAUGAGCUGGCUUUGAGGCUUUAGGUUCUCAACCACUUGGAAAACUUUGGUUUAAGCUUGUAAUCUAGAAUAAACCCAACAAAUUUUUCUUGGCUAGUGGAUGGUGGCCUCAAGUUUUCAUUAUGACUGUUAGAAUGUGCUUUCAGCCAGAAGUGUAAUCCAUUGCUCGCUGAUUGAUAAACUCCUAUGAUCAGGUCUAACAAGGAAAUAAAGGUUUUGACAAGGAAUAAUGUGAUACUGCUCCAAUUUUGGAAUAGUGACAAAAUUUUAAGUACUCUAUCAACCUUAGGUUCUUCUACUAACCAUAAACUUAAACCUAUGUUUGGUGGGAAAACAAAAAUCAGCAAAUUGAUUGGGCUACUAGCUAUAACCAGAUUACUUUACUUAAUGCUUGUUUAUGCAAUCUUGUACAAGUUGUUCUAUCUCCUGCAAUUUACUCGUUUGUAUGACAAUAUUUAAUAAGUCGCCAUUAAUGUAUCAUCAUGUAAGUGUUUUUGUUUUAUUAUCAUUAGUUGGAUUUUGUCAGUCCUAGAAAUAAUAAAAAAAAAUAUUAUUUCUGUGCUGGCAGCUAUAUCCUUCUUUACUUACUGUAGAUAGUUUUUUAUGGCUGUGGUGUCUGGGACAACUUUUGUGCACCUCGACUAAUUCUGUUGAUACCUCCCGCCUCCCACCAACAUAUACCAAGUAACUUUGUCCAUAAAGGCUAGAUCACCUAGUGUUUAUUGUUUCCGUUGGGAAUGAAAUUGAAUCUAAGACCUCAUGGUUCUUAACCACUUUAUUGACCACUAGGCCACACCCUUGGGUGCUACUGAAGAUAGUAUGUCAUCAUUUAUAGUUGAAUAGUUGAUGAAAUCCAUGAUCUUAAGAUUGCUUCUUUAAACAAUUUAACAAUGGUCCUUCCUGCUCUAUCCUAUAAAAGUAGAAGAUAGUACUAUCGAAAAUGGGGAUGAUGAGAUUGAUGUGUAGGCAUAAGAGGAGGGCUAGGAUUAGGAACAACAAUAUUUGGGACAAGGUAUGAAUGACCUCUGUUGUGGAAAAGAUGAAAGCGAGAUGGUUUGGACAUAUGCAAAGGAGAUGCAUAUAUGCUCUAGUGAUAAGUUCUAAUAGAAACCAGUUGUUAGUUUAUAGUGUUAAACUGAAAAUUAAUCCCAUGAUGAACAUAAACAUUCACUUUUGUUGCCACAUAAUAGCAACACAAACAAUGUAGUAGACUCGUCAAAUAUGUACUAGAAAACUUUAUCAAUACAAAACUUUAUCAAUACAUGUUGAUUCUCAUUCAAGAAAAGGUAGCGUUAGAUGAUUAAUUCAUUAUUAUUGGAAGUCUACAAACAAAUCCAAAGUGUCUAGAAACUACAUGCUAAUCUUGUGGUUAGACACUCUGAAUUUGUUUGCAGGCUUCCAACAAUAAUGAAUUAAUCACCUAAGGCUUGUAUGGUCAACCUCUCUUCUUAAUUGAGAAUCAACAUUUAUCUAUAAAGUCAUAGUUUUUCCUACUGGUUCGAUGAUUCUACUACCUUCUUUGUGUUGCUAUUAUGUGCUUCAAAAGUGACUGUUUAAGUUUGUCAUGGGUAUAAUGUUCAGUUUGGCGUUAAUAGGCUAACAAUCAGUUUCUGUUAGAAUACUCAGUCCUGAAUUUCCUUAAUUAAAAGCAGCAGUAAUUCGUACAUGAUUGAAUUUGCUGUCAAUUGUUUACAGGAAACAUAUUUGAUGUAAAAACGACUAAAGAUGGAGAAACCUCAAAAGUGAGCAGGUUUCCUGGUCACCAGUCCUAUGCAAACUUUAAUGAUGGAAGCAGUAGCGCGUCAACACCAUAUUCUACGAGUGAAACUCCAUCAAAUGUUCGUAAGAGGAAGUACUUUUCGAAGAGAUUCUCAUAUUUAUUUUAGAAUUUCAUCCCUUUUAUUGUGGUGUCCUCUUAAUCGGUAUUAGAGACAUUUUUAUUACUGUGUAAUAAGUAUAAAUCUAGUCAAACAGGGCUAUAAAUAUAAUACACCAUUUGCAAUGUUGUCUACUACAGUAAUUGAAUUCAGCUACAGUAUUCGAACAACUCCACCAAAAUUUAAAAUUAUAAAGUCAUUCAAAAGGUUUACUGA